rnacentral:rRNA from 1 species
UGGGUGAUUAACACUUGGGCAACCUGCCCUGCAGUGGGGGAUAAUUCCGGGAAACCGGGGUUAAUACCGAAUAAUCAGUUCCUUCGCUUGAAGGAAUUCUGAAAAACGGUUUCGGUUGUCUCUGCAGGAUGGGCCCGCGGCGCAUUACUUAUUUGGUGAGGUAACGGUUUACCAAGGCAACAAUGCUUACCCGACCUGAAAGGGUGAUCGGCCACACUGGGACUGAAACACGGCCCAAAUUCCUACGGGAGGCAGCAGUAGGGAAUCUUCCACAAGGGACGGAAUUCUGAUGGACCAACGCCGCGUGAGCAAAAAAGGUUUUCGGAUCGUAAAGCUCUGUUGUGAGGGAAAAACAAGUAUAGGAGUAACUGCCUGUACCUUGACGGUACCUCAUUAAAAAGCCAGGAUUAGAUACCCUGGUAGUCCACGCCGUAAACGAUGAGUGCUAAGUGUUAGGGGGUUUCCGCCCCUUAGUGCUGGAGCAAACGCAUUAAGCACUCCGCCUGGGGAGUACGGCCGCAAGGCUGAAACUCAAAGGAAUUGACGGGGACCCGCACAAGCGGUGGAGCAUGUGGUUUAAUUCGAAGCUACGCGAAGAACCUUACCAGGUCUUGACAUCCCGCUGACCGGUAUAGAGAUAUACCUUUCCCUUCGGGGACAGCGGUGACAGGUGGUGCAUGGUUGUCGUCAGCUCGUGUCGUGAGAUGUUGGGUUAAGUCCCGUAACGAGCGCAACCCUUGACCUUAGUUGCCAGCAUUCAGUUGGGCACUCUAAGGUGACUGCCGGUGACAAACCGGAGGAAGGUGGGGAUGACGUCAAAUCAUCAUGCCCCUUAUGACCUGGGCUACACACGUGCUACAAUGGACGGUACAGAGGGUUGCCAACCCGCGAGGGGGAGCUAAUCCCAUAAAACCGUUCCCAGUUCGGAUUGCAGGCUGCAACUCGCCUGCAUGAAGCAGGAAUCGCUAGUAAUC